AGCACGGCCACACCCGCCACGAGCUCCUCGCCACCCCUGAAGGACGGGACACCCACACGGGCUGAGGAGAAGCACAAGUGCCGCAGGUCAGGCUACGGCACCCGACGCAGCCAGGGAACCUCCGUGGUUCCGGGCAGAUCUUGUACUGCCGACACCGAUGCCCUCGAGGCACAUGUACCACCAGCACGCCCUGUAAAGCCAAGACAGCGUUGGGCUGGUGUCACUGCCAGGCACCCUGGUACACCAGAAGCUGAAGUAGGAUUUCUAAAGAAAAAUGAAGAUCAAAGACAAAAGCAACCUCCCAUUGUGUCUCAGAAGAGGAAACAAAAAUGUGUAAAAUUACUAAAUCUGGAAACAGAAGCAAGAGAGCAGGUUUAAGGAAACAGAAGAAAACGCAGCUGUUGCUUGGGUACCAGCUGAAGAAGGGAUAAAAGCAAAGCAGAUCUCAGCAUCCCUCCCUGAUACAUCUGAUCAGCGUGAAAUACGUCCAGGGAAACACUGAAGUUACUCUCAGCUGUUACAGAUAUAAUUGAAGCUCUGGGCAAACCCUAGAUAUUCAUGUAAAGGAAGAAAUUUAAUAUGCAAAACCACUGAAACAGCAUCACAUCUUGAAAAGUCUAAUAAUAGCUCUAAGGUUUUUAAAGGCUUCUGUUAAAAUAAGCUGCUUUAAAAAUACAUACAAAACCAGCAGAAAAAUACCUCCCAACUUUUUCAGUAUAAAAGAGGCAAAGUAACAUCUGCUUUACUAUUUGCCUGUUAAUUACCAGCACAUUACAAUGGUGGAACUGGCAGGAGACAAAAAAAAUGAACAAGAAAUCACCAUGGCACAGCUUGUAGUCCAGUGGCUCAUGAACUAUGAGAAAUCCCAUGAAAAAACUGAUGACUUAAAACCAGUAACAAAAAAAAUCUGUCAUCAACAUGAUAAAAGGAAUUAUCGUA